UACAGAGGGUGCAAGCGUUAAUCGGAAUUAUUGGGCGUAAAGGGUGCGUAGGCGGUAAAUUAAGUUUUGCGUGAAAUUCCUGGGCUUAACCUAGGGUGUGCGCAGGAUACUGGUUUGCUAGAGUAUAGUAGAGGGGAGUGGAAUUUCCGGUGUAGCGGUGAAAUGCGUAGAUAUCGGAAGGAACACCAGUGGCGAAGGCGACUCUCUGGACUAAUACUGACGCUGAGGCACGAAAGCGUGGGGAGCAAACAGG
rnacentral:rRNA from 1 species